AUAACACUAUCAAUCUUCUCAUUUCUUGAUAACAAUAUACAAAAUUUAGCAAAACAAGAACACUAAUAACACUAUCAAUCUUCUCAUUUCUUGAUAACAAUAUACAAAAUUUAGAAAAACAAGAACACUAAUAACACUAUCAAUCUUCUCAUUUCUUGAUAACAAUAUACAAAAUUUAGCAAAACAAGAACACUAAUAACACUAUCAAUCUUCUCAUUUCUUGA
rnacentral:lncRNA from 1 species